UACGAAGGGGGCUAGUGUUGCUCGGAAUCACUGGGCGUAAAGGGUGCGUAGGCGGGUCUUUAAGUCAGGGGUGAAAUCCUGGAGCUCAACUCCAGAACUGCCUUUGAUACUGAAGAUCUUGAGUUCGGGAGAGGAGCGUGGAAUUCCCAGUGUAGAGGUGAAAUUCGUAGAUAUUGGGAAGAACACCGGUGGCGAAGGCGGCGCUCUGGACCGAGACUGACGCUGAGGCGCGAAAGCGUGGGGAGCAAACAGG
rnacentral:rRNA from 1 species